rnacentral:misc_RNA from 1 species
AACGCACAUUGCGCCCCCUGGUAUUCCGGGGGGCAUGCCUGUUCGAGCGUCAUUUCACCACUCAAGCCUCGCUUGGUAUUGGGCAACGCGGUCCGCCGCGUGCCUCAAAUCGACCGGCUGGGUCUUCUGUCCCCUAAGCGUUGUGGAAACUAUUCGCUAAAGGGUGUUCGGGAGGCUACGCCGUAAAACAACCCCAUUUCUAAGGUUGACCUCGGAUCAGGUAGGGAUACCCGCUGAACUUAAGCAUAUCAAUAAGCGGAGGAUCUCAGACUGCCAUGAUCUACUGUGAAUCAUCGAAUCUUUGAACGCACAUUGCGCCCCCUGGUAUUCCGGGGGGCAUGCCUGUUCGAGCGUCAUUUCACCACUCAAGCCUCGCUUGGUAUUGGGCAACGCGGUCCGCCGCGUGCCUCAAAUCGACCGGCUGGGUCUUCUGUCCCCUAAGCGUUGUGGAAACUAUUCGCUAAAGGGUGUUCGGGAGGCUACGCCGUAAAACAACCCCAUUUCUAAGGUUGACCUCGGAUCAGGUAGGGAUACCCGCUGAACUUAA